GGCUGGUCUGAAGGUAGUGAGACAUCUCAACUGAUUGUUCACAGUUACAGAUCGAACUCCUUGCUCUACUCUUUUCCCCCUUCUCACUACUGCACUUGACUAGUUUUAA
ensembl:misc_RNA Y_RNA Y RNA